GCGGAUAAAAACACGUCCCGGCCGGUAGUCCGGGAGUAACGGCAAAACAAACCGUUAUCAGUAACCUGCCUCCUUGGUUGUCCGUUCCGCAUUUAUUU
rnacentral:ncRNA from 1 species